GACGAACGCUGGCGGCGUGCUUAACACAUGCAAGUCGAACGGGAUCCGGGCUUUCGGGUUUGGUGAGAGUGGCGAACGGGUGAGUAACACGUGAGUAACCUGCCCCCUUCUUUGGGAUAACGUCGGGAAAUCGGCGCUAAUACUGGAUAUUCUUGCUGCAUCGCAUGGUGUGGUUUGGAAAGGGUUUCUGGUGGGGGAUGGGCUCGCGGCCUAUCAGCUUGUUGGUGGGGUGAUGGCCUACCAAGGCUUUGACGGGUAGCCGGCCUGAGAGGGUGUCCGGCCACACUGGGACUGAGACACGGCCCAGACUCCUACGGGAGGCAGCAGUGGGGAAUAUUGCACAAUGGGCGUAAGCCUGAUGCAGCGACGCAGCGUGAGGGAUGACGGCCUUCGGGUUGUAAACCCCUUUCAGUAUGGAACAAGGAUCCUUCUUUUGGGGGGUUUGAGGGUACGUGCAGAAGAAGCGCCGGCUAACUACGUG
rnacentral:rRNA from 1 species